rnacentral:rRNA from 1 species
CCGAAAGGCAGGAGUGCCUGCAAGGGAGCGCGGAGACAGGUGGUGCAUGGCUGUCGUCAGCUCGUGUCGUGAGAUGUUGGGUUAAGUCCCGCAACGAGCGCAACCCUCACCUCUUGUUGCCAUCAGGUCACGCUGGGCACUCUAGAGGAACUGCCCCGGUCAACGGGGAGGAAGGCGGGGAUGACGUCAAGUCAUCAUGCCCCUUACGUCCUGGGCUACACACGUGCUACAAUGGCCGGUACAAAGGGAUGCCACACCGCGAGGUAGAGCUAAACCCAAAAAGCCGGUCUAAGUUCGGAUUGGAGUCUGCAACUCGACUCCAUGAAGGAGGAAUCGCUAGUAAUCGCGUAUCAGCACGACGCGGUGAAUACGUUCCCGGGCCUUGUACACACCGCCCGUCAUACCACGAAAGCCAG